rnacentral:rRNA from 1 species
GUGGGGAAUUUUGGACAAUGGGCGCAAGCCUGAUCCAGCAAUGCCGCGUGCAGGAAGAAGGCCUUCGGGUUGUAAACUGCUUUUGUACGGAACGAAACGGUCCUGGUUAAUACCUGGGGCUAAUGACGGUACCGUAAGAAUAAGCACCGGCUAACUACGUGCCAGCAGCCGCGGUAAUACGUAGGGUGCGAGCGUUAAUCGGAAUUACUGGGCGUAAAGCGUGCGCAGGCGGUGCUGUAAGACAGGCGUGAAAUCCCCGGGCUCAACCUGGGAAGUGCGCGUGUGACUGCAGUGCUGGAGUACGGCAGAGGGGGAUGGAAUUCCGCGUGUAGCAGUGAAAUGCGUAGAUAUGCGGAGGAACACCGAUGGCGAAGGCAGUCCCCUGGGCCUGUACUGACGCUCAUGCACGAAAGCGUGGGGAGCAAACAGGAUUAGAUACCCUGGUAGUCC